rnacentral:rRNA from 1 species
UACGUAGGGGGCAAGCGUUGUCCGGAAUUACUGGGCGUAAAGAGCUCGUAGGUGGUUUGUCGCGUUGUUCGUGAAAACUCACAGCUCAACUGUGGGCGUGCGGGCGAUACGGGCAGACUAGAGUACUGCAGGGGAGACUGGAAUUCCUGGUGUAGCGGUGGAAUGCGCAGAUAUCAGGAGGAACACCGGUGGCGAAGGCGGGUCUCUGGGCAGUAACUGACGCUGGAGGAGCGAAAGCGUGGGAGCGAACAGG